rnacentral:ribozyme from 13 species
UUUUUUUUUUUUUUUUUUUUUUUUUGGCUUUAAGACGAAUCUUGUAAUUAA